UUAAGUCCCGCAACGAGCGCAACCCUCGACCUUAGUUGCCAGCAUUCAGUUGGGCACUCUAAGGUGACUGCCGGCUAAAAGUCGGAGGAAGGUGGGGAUGACGUCAAAUCAUCAUGCCCUUAUGACCUGGGCUACACACGUGCUACAAUGGGCGGUACAAAGGGUCGCGAACCCGCGAGGGGGAGCCAAUCCCAAAAAGCCGCUCUCAGUUCGGAUUGCAGGCUGCAACUCGCCUGCAUGAAGCCGGAAUCGCUAGUAAUCGCGGAUCAGCAUGCCGCGGUGAAUACGUUCCCGGGCCUU
rnacentral:rRNA from 1 species